GAUGAACGCUAGCGAUAGGCUUAACACAUGCAAGUCGAGGGACCGGCGCACGGGUGCGUAACGCGUAUGCAACUUGCCUCACAGAGGGGGAUAACCCGUCGAAAGACGGACUAAUACCGCGUGCUGUGAGAUAGGCAUGCGUCCCAUUAGCUAGUUGGUGAGGUAACGGCUCACCAAGGCAACGAUGGGUAGGGGAACUGAGAGGGUGAACCACCACACUGGUCAUGAGACACGGACCAGACUCCGACGGGAGACAGCAGUGAGGAAGAUUGGUCAAUGGUCGAGAGCCUGAACCAGCCAAGGCGCGUGAAGGAUGACUGUGUAGUGAUUGUAAACUUCUUGUGUAGGGGAAUAUGUACCCUACGAAUAAGCAUCGGCUAACUCCGUGCCAGCAGCCGCGGUAAUAC
rnacentral:rRNA from 1 species